rnacentral:rRNA from 1 species
AUUGAACGCUGGCGGCAGGCCUAACACAUGCAAGUCGAACGAGUGGCGGACGGGUGAGUAAUGUCUGGGAACCUGCCUGAUGGAGGGGGAUAACUACUGGAAACGGUAGCUAAUACCGCAUACCAUCAGAUGUGCCCAGAGUGGAUUAGCUUGUUGGUGGGGUAACGGCUCACCAAGGCGACGAUCCCUAGCUGGUCUUAGAGGGUGACCGGCCACACUGGAACUGAGACACGGUCCAGACUCCUACGGGAGGCAGCAGUGGGGAAUAUUCGGCAAUGGGCGCAAGCCUGAUGCAGCCAUGCCGCGUGUGUGAAGAAGGCCUUCGGGUUGUAAAGUACUUUCAGCGGGGAGGCGUUACCCGAAGAAGAAGCACCGGCUAACUCCGUGCCAGCAGCCGCGGUAAUUC